UCCUUAGUGGUCCAGUGGCUAAGACUCUGCGCUCUCAAUACAGGUAGUCCAGGUUCGAUCCCUGGUCAGGGAA
rnacentral:tRNA from 1 species